CAGAGGGGGCAAGCGUUAUUCGGAAUUAUUGGGCGUAAAGGGCGCGUAGGCGGCUAAUCAAGUGGCGGGUGAAAUCCCUCGGCUUAACCGAGGAACUGCCUGCCAGACUGGAUGGCUUGAGACCGGGAGAGGUGAGUGGAAUUCCCAGUGUAGCGGUGAAAUGCGUAGAUAUUGGGAGGAACACCAGUGGCGAAGGCGGCUCACUGGACCGGUACUGACGCUGAGGCGCGAAAGCGUGGGGAGCAAACAGGAUUAGAUACCCUGGUAGUCCACGCCGUAAACGAUGAGUGCUUGGUGUAGCGGGUAUCGACCCCUGCUGUGCCGACGUCAACACAUUAAGCACUCCGCCUGGGGAUACGGUCGCAAGACUG
rnacentral:rRNA from 1 species